UACGUAGGGUGCAAGCGUUGUCCGGAAUUAUUGGGCGUAAAGAGCUCGUAGGCGGUUUGUCGCGUCUGCUGUGAAAACCCGCGGCUCAACCGCGGGCCUGCAGCCGAUACGGGCAGGCUAGAGUUCGGUAGGGGAGACUGGAAUUCCUGGUGUAGCGGUGAAAUGCGCAGAUAUCAGGAGGAACACCGGUGGCGAAGGCGGGUCUCUGGGCCGAUACUGACGCUGAGGAGCGAAAGCGUGGGGAGCGAACAGG
rnacentral:rRNA from 1 species